AGAGCAGUGGAUAUCUUAUCAGCCCUUGUUGUUCGCAACAACUUGCUGUUCCUAGCUAACAGUAGGGAAGUUUUUCCGACUUAGUUUAAGAAACUCUACAAAGCUGUCGUACGUUUCGUGCUAUAAUAGUGCAAGGCGAGUCUAUCUUGCCGAUAGCAACUAUUUAAUAGAUGACAAAAGAAGCGGCUCAUUUUCUUCGAUUGAUCGAAAAGUUUCUGUCUCCAACGAAUUAACUUGUGUAACCCCAGCUAAGACUGAAUGGAAGUAUAAGAAGCGUAAAUCUCUUGAAAGUAGAAAAGUAGAGUCGAAGGAGAUCUUUCAGUUGUAUCCAAACAGUAUUCCUGUUGUAUUGGAGAAGGCUCCAAAUGGCAGAGUACCCACUGCCCAAAAAGAGAAAUAUCUUGUUCCUCGAAAUCUAACAGUUGCAGACUUCCUUUUGAUGGUGCGUAAAAACGUACUUCUGCACGAUGACUCUUCUCUAUACUUAAUGGCUGGAAGAGGAAAAGUGUUAUCUCCCAGCUGGACAAUGGGAGAAGUUUUCGAUAAAGAAAAAGAUGAAGAUGGAUUCUUGUAUUUGAUAUACAAUUCAUAUUAUAAUUUCGCUUAUAACAGAAGUUCUGGAAGGAAUUUAUGACUAUCCUAAAGCUCAUGAUUUACUUAAAUUACAUCGAUACUGAACAAUGUAGAAUGAUUUUAAAUAUUUUAAUGUAAUUAUUUGUGAAUAAAGAAUUUAAUAUAUUA